ACGAGUGAGGGUCCCAGCGGCCCAACCUCCCAACCCUUUGUUUACUGAACCUAUGUUGCUUCGGUGGGCCCGUCUCAGGACCGCCGGGGGUUCGCCGCGAGGCGUCCCCUGGCCAGCGCCCGCCGGUGGCCAACCAUUAAAACUCUUGAAUGAAUCGUGUCCUCUUGUCUAAGUCAUGAUUAUCAAAUCAAAAACA
rnacentral:misc_RNA from 1 species